UACAGAGGUCUCAAGCGUUGUUCGGAUUCAUUGGGCGUAAAGGGUGCGUAGGCGGCGCGGUAAGUCGGGUGUGAAAUCUCGGAGCUUAACUCCGAAACUGCAUUUGAUACUGGCGUGCUUGAGGACUGGAGAGGAGACUGGAAUUCACGGUGUAGCAGUGAAAUGCGUAGAGAUCGUGAGGAAGACCAGUGGCGAAGGCGAGUCUUCUGGACAGUUCCUGACACUGAGGCACGAAGGCCAGGGGAGCAAACGGG
rnacentral:rRNA from 1 species